GGCGGCAUGCCUUACACAUGCAAGUCGAACGGCAGCACGGGGGGUAACUCCUGGUGGCGAGUGGCGAACGGGUGAGUAAUAUAUCGGAACGUGUCCUGUAGCGGGGGAUAACCUAUCGAAAGAUGGACUAAUACCGCAUACGCUCUACGGAGGAAAGCGGGGGUUCUUGGGCAACUGAGGACCUCGCACUAUAGGAGCGGCCGAUAUCGGAUUAGCUAGUUGGCGGGGUAAAAGCCCACCAAGGCGACGAUCCGUAGCUGGUCUGAGAGGAUGAUCAGCCACACUGGAACUGAGACACGGUCCAGACUCCUACGGGAGGCAGCAGUGGGGAAUUUUGGACAAUGGGCGCAAGCCUGAUCCAGCCAUGCCGCGUGAGUGAAGAAGGCCUUCGGGUUGUAAAGCUCUUUCGGCAGGAACGAAAUGGUUCGUGUUAAUACCACGGACUGAUGACGGUACCUGAAGAAGAAGCAC
rnacentral:rRNA from 1 species